AUACGGAGGAUCCGAGCGUUAUCCGGAUUUAUUGGGUUUAAAGGGUGCGCAGGCGGCCAUUUAAGUCAGCGGUUAAAUCGUGGGGCUCCACCCCAUUCUGCCGUUGAUACUGGGUGGCUUGAUUGCGGUCGAGGUUGGCGGAAUUCGUUGUGUAGCGGUGAAAUGCAUAGAUAUGACGAAGAACACCGAUUGCGUAGGCAGCUGACCAGACCGCAAAUGACGCUCAUGCACGAAAGUGCGGGGAUCGAACAGGAUUAGAUACCCUGGUAGUCCGCACAGUAAACGAUGAAUACUUGUUUUCGGCGAUAUAAUGUCGGAGGCAAAGCGAAAGCGAUAAGUAUUCCACCUGGGGAGUACGCCGGCAACGGUGAAACUCAAAGGAAUUGGCGGGG
rnacentral:rRNA from 1 species